AGUUAAAAAGCCACAGAUUAAGCCCGAUGUCUUGAAAACAUCGUGAAAGAAGUUUAAAUCUUCUAUUAACUU
rnacentral:tRNA from 1 species